AGUGAACGCUGGCGGUAGGCCUAACACAUGCAAGCCGAACGGCAGCACAGUAAGAGCUUGCUCUUACGGGUGGCGAGUGGCGGACGGGUGAGGAAUACAUCGGCAUCUACUUUUUCGUGGGGGAUAACGUAGGGAAACUUACGCUAAUACCGCAUACGACCUACGGGUGGAAGCAGGGGAUCUUCGGACCUUGCGCGAUUGAAUGAGCCGAUGUCGGAUUAGCUAGUUGGCGGGGUAAAGGCCCACCAAGGCGACGAUCCGUAGCUGGUCUGAGAGGAUGAUCAGCCACACUGGAACUGAGACACGGUCCAGACUCCUACGGGAGGCAGCAGUGGGGAAUAUUGGACAAUGGGCGCAAGCCUGAUGCAGCCAUACCGCGUGGGUGAAGAAGGCCUUCGGGUUGUAAAGCCCUUUUGUUGGGAAAGAAAAGCAGCAGGUUAAUACCCCGCUGUUCUGACGGUACCCAAAGAAUAAGCACCGGCUAACUUCGUG
rnacentral:rRNA from 1 species